rnacentral:rRNA from 1 species
GCAUAAUUGAUGAUUUAAAGUUAAUUUAUUUAAAUAAAGUUAAAAGAAACAUCCUUUGAUACAGUAAAGGAGAUUGAAAUUUUAUUUAUCAAAAUCACUGUAGUACCGCAAGGGAAAUACUAAAGUUAAAACAAAAUAGUGAUAAAAUCACGUACCUUUUGUAUAAUGGUUUAGCUAGAUUUUAUUUUGUUAUACAAAGUUCUCGAAACUUAAUGAGCUACUUUUAAAAAUUGUGUUAGAAAAAUAAAUUAGUUGUGGCAAAAACUUUUUUAUAGAUAAAAGUAGAAAUGAAAUUUUAUUCGUAUUAAGUGAUAGCUAGUUUUCUUUAAAAGGCAUAGAAGUGCUGAUAUUUAAUGUUAUAAAUUUAAAUUAAAUUAAACUUAGUUUAUUAAAUUUUUUAGGUUUUCAAGGAUAAGCUUGAAAAUUAUAAUUAAAAUAUAUAUAAAUCUCCAUUUAAAUUUAAGCUUAAUAGUAGCUAUAAUUAAUAAAUUUGUUAUAAAUUAUUUAAUUUGAAGAGUUAAAAUAAAUAUAUAUAAAUUAAAAAGAAAGUUAUUUUAAAUUAUAUUAAAUAAUAAUAAAUGCUAAAAUGAGUAUUUUUAAAAUUUAGAUUUUUUAAUUAUUUAAAUAUUAAAAACUAAAAUAUAAAUUGUUAGCUAAUUUUUGUAAAGGAAUUCGGCAAAUAUGGUAAUUCUGCCUGUUUAUCAAAAACAUGGCUCUUUGUUUUUUCUGCAUAGAGAGUCGGACCUGCCCAGUGAUUAAAUUUUCAACGGCCGCGGUACCCUGACCGUGCAAAGGUAGCAUAAUCAUUUGCCCUAUAAUUGAGGGCUAGUAUGAAUGGUUUGACAAGAAUUACACUGUCUCUACAAAAAUUUUUAGAAUUUAUUUUUUGAGUGAAGAAACUCAAAUGCAAUUGAAAGACAAGAAGACCCUAUCGAGCUUUAAAAACAUUUAUAAAAUAAAAAAGAUUAAAAAUACUUUUGAUUAUAAAAAAUUUUGGUUGGGGCGACUAAGGAACAAUUAAAGCUUCUUAUUAGUGACAUAUUUAUAAAUUUUGAUCCAUUCCUAGUGAUUAAAAAAUUAGUUACCGUAGGGAUAACAGCAUAAUUCUUUUUGAGAGUUCAUAUCGAAAAAAGAGUUUGUGACCUCGAUGUUGGACUAGAAUAUCCUGAUAGAUGCAGAAGUCUUCAAGGGUUGGUCUGUUCGACCAUUAAAAUUCUACAUGAUCUGAGUUCAGACCGGCGUGAGCCAGGUCAGUUUCUAUCUUCAAUUAUAUUUUUAACUUUAGUACGAAAGGACCAAGUUAUAGUAAAAUUUUACAUUCAUAGAAAACUUUUAAUACCAAUAUAAAUAAUUUAAUA